UACGUAGGGGGCAAGCGUUGUCCGGAAUCAUUGGGCGUAAAGCGCGUGUAGGCGGCUUCGUAAGUCCGUUGUGAAAGUCCAGGGCUCAACCCUGGAAUGCCGAUGGAUACUGCGGAGCUAGAGUCCGGAAGAGGCGAGUGGAAUUCCCGGUGUAGCGGUGAAAUGCGCAGAUAUCGGGAGGAACACCAAUGGCGAAGGCAGCUCGCUGGGCUAACACUGACGCUCAGGCACGAAAGCGUGGGGAGCAAACAGG
rnacentral:rRNA from 1 species